rnacentral:rRNA from 1 species
ACCUUGGGGCGUGCCUAUAAUGCAAGUCGAGCGGACCGACGGGAGCUUGCUCCCUUAGGUCAGCGGCGGACGGGUGAGUAACACGUGGGUAACCUGCCUGUAAGACUGGGAUAACUCCGGGAAACCGGGGCUAAUACCGGAUGCUUGAUUGAACCGCAUGGUUCAAUCAUAAAAGGUGGCUUUUAGCUACCACUUACAGAUGGACCCGCGGCGCAUUAGCUAGUUGGUGAGGUAACGGCUCACCAAGGCGACGAUGCGUAGCCGACCUGAGAGGGUGAUCGGCCACACUGGGACUGAAACACGGCCCAGACUCCUACGGGAGGCAGCAGUAGGGAAUCUUCCGCAAUGGACGAAAGUCUGACGGAGCAACGCCGCGUGAGUGAUGAAGGUUUUCGGAUCGUAAAACUCUGUUGUUAGGGAAGAACAAGUACCGUUCGAAUAGGGCGGUACCUUGACGGUACCUAACCAGAAAGCCACGGCUAACUACGUGCCAGCAGCCGCGGUAAUACGUAGGUGGCAAGCGUUGUCCGGAAUUAUUGGGCGUAAAGCGCGCGCAGGCGGUUUCUUAAGUCUGAUGUGAAAGCCCCCGGCUCAACCGGGGAGGGUCAUUGGAAACUGGGGAACUUGAGUGCAGAAGAGGAGAGUGGAAUUCCACGUGUAGCGGUGAAAUGCGUAGAGAUGUGGAGGAACACCAGUGGCGAAGGCGACUCUCUGGUCUGUAACUGACGCUGAGGCGCGAAAGCGUGGGGAGCGAACAGGAUUAGAUACCCUGGUAGUCCACGCCGUAAACGAUGAGUGCU